rnacentral:rRNA from 1 species
AGAUUGAACGCUGGCGGCAUGGCUAAAACAUGCAAGUCGAGCGCGAAACCCGCUUCGGCGGGAAGUAGAGCGGCGAAAGGGCGAGUAAUGCGUUCCUACGUACCCCCAGGUCGGGGAUAGCCCGGGGAAACCCGGAGUAAUACCCGAUGUGGUCUCCGGAUCAAAGGCUUCGGCCGCCCGGGGAGCGGGGAACGUCCUAUCAGGUUGUUGGUGAGGUAACAGCUCACCAAGCCAGAGACGGGUAGCGGGUGUGAGAGCAUGACCCGCCGCAUCGGGACUGAGACACUGCCCGGACUCCUACGGGAGGCUGCAGUAACGAAUCUUCCGCAAUGCGCGAAAGCGUGACGGAGCAAUGCCGCGUGCAGGAUGAAGCCCUUCGGGGUGUAAACUGCUGUCAGGGUUUAGCAACACAAUGAGCAGACCCAAAGGAAGGGCCGGCUAACUUCGUGCCAGCAGCCGCGGUAAUACGAAGGGCCCGAGCGUUAAUCGGAAUCAUUGGGCUUAAAGCGUACGUAGGCGGAUUCGCAGGCAUCUUGUGAAAUCCCUCCGCUCAACGGAGGAACUGCAGGGUGAACCGCGUGUCUUGAGACAGGUAGGGGCUGUCGGAACGCUAGGUGGAGUGGUGAAAUGCGUUGAUAUCUAGCGGAACGCCGAAGGAGAAAUCAGGCAGCUGGGCCUGUUCUGACGCUGAGGUACGAAAGCGUGGGGAGCGAACGGGAUUAGAUACCCCGGUAGUCCACGCUGUAAACGAUGUGCACUA